CCCCCUCUUUCUUUCAUAUCGGAAGGUGUUUGAUUUUGCUUUUGUUUGGGUGUUUGAUUUGAGGUGACAGUUGGCUUGGUUGUGAAUGGGCCAUGGCGAAGCCUCCAUUGCAUGAGGUGCUACCAUGUGGAAAGGCCUGAUGGAUCUUGUUGAAUGCCACUGUGUGGGGCUCUGUGGGGGAGUGGUCCGAGGGCAAUCAACCAGAAACUGCCCCCAGUGACAGCCAUGAGAGAGGGAACAAUCCGGGCCUCAGCCAAUAGUGGGAGUAAUUGGUCAAUCAGAUCUUCACACCUUCAAUCAGUCAUCAAGGCAAUGAUGUUGAUUUCUUUUCAACUAGAAAAAUAAUCAUGUCGAGUGAGGACUCUAGUAUGAUUUUUCUGUCUUUCGACCAAAUCAGCCUUCCAUAGCUUCAAGACAUUACAGAGAAAUUGGAGAGUAAAUUGUAUACUAUAGCACCAGUAUGUUUGAAAAACACGUUAUUCAUCUGGUGAUCAAUGGCCUAAACAGGGUUUUAAUCACAUUUACUCGGCUAAAUUUAUACAUUUGAAUUCUGCUUUGAUAACAAACACAAUACUUACACCAAUAUGGCACGUCUGACUAGACUGAAACUCCUGUUGGAGCGUUUGUAUAGCAACAACACUCACAAUGUCAAUUUUAGCAGGUUGUGCAGCGGUUCCUGCCUGCUGCAUUGCAGGUGCUGAGUGAGACAUUUGAGCUCAGGGCUCAGCGAGGGAACGAGAGAGACGAGGGCCUUGACAGGAAGUGACAGGCGGUGAUGUCACCUCCUCCGGUGGCACAGUGGUACCUGGCUCUUUGUCUGUUUUCCCUAGCUACUGUCAUUACCAACGGAAGAAUCCAGGGGAACUGGAACAAGGCCCCAACGACUGUUCUUGGCUGUUAUCUGUGGUUGUAUAGCUAUAUACAUGCCGUUGUGGCUGUUAAUGUGACAAAUUGGCCUUUUACAAAGUGUUAUGCAAGUAAAAUUUGAUUGAAUGAAAACAUUUAUGGGUAGAGAUUUUAGCAAAGUUAGAUUAGCUUUCUGACAUCAGUUUGUAUUUAUUUUUCAGGCAGUAAUAACGUUUUUUUUCUCUCCAAUUAGCUACAAUUUGUACGAUAAGCAUGAAUACUAUUUGAAGAGAAGAUGAUAUGAAGUCAGUGACAGACUCCCAUAAAGGCGUUUACAGAAGUCAAUGGACCCACCCAGACAAAGGAGAUUAAGUUUGGUAACUUAGCAGUAACAGGUGUACUUUGACUUGGUUCGGACCACACCGGAGGUGGGUGCUAUUGUUGGACCCGUUGUUCUGUUUCCUCCCUGACAGUUUCGACUUGUGUGGAGAUAAAGAUGGAACUGCUUUACGGCCUUUGACAAUCUGCUUUAUAUGUUUCCUCUUGGAAGUUAGUGCUGGGAGUUUGUUUGGUCUAGAUGUCCAAGAUCAGUCUCUUAUCAUUUCUCAGUCUUUGAAAAUACUUCUCAGUUUUGCUACAAUUCAUCAUUGAUUUGCCAAGAACUCUCCAAAGGGAGACAGGAGUUAUGUUUAGAUCUCCCUCCACUGUUGCCCCAGGGAGCUAGUGAAGGGUAAACAAUCCAAAUAGAGAAAUAUCAGAAGGAUUACAGAACACUAUACAUUCUAGCAUUUAGAGCAAUGUGCUCAACUGGAAAUGUUUUAACAUAGGAUGCAUUUUUACAAAAAAAGCUAAUAAUAUUCUGAAUAUUUUAACAGUUAGGAAAAAGAGCCUCUCAACAAAAAGAGAAAGAUUACAUUUUCAGAAGUUGGGCAAGUAUUGGACAAACUGAAACUAACUAUUUCAGUCUUCAACCAAGCUUUUGGACAGAGCCUGACAGAGCCCCAGUCCACAGAAGGCCAUUCUGGUGAAAUUACUUGUCAGAACGUCAUGUGAAGGGGCUGUUCAGACCGAAGCGGCUUUGGCAGCCAUUGUCUUGUUCUCACUCACACACCUUCGAGUCCAGAGUAAGCACACAAUUGCAUUGUUCCCUGAGCUGUUAAUAUCAGAGGCUUCACAAUGGAGCCCAUUCGCCAUAUUUGCAUAUGGCACUUUUCCAACAAGGACUCAGAGCGGGCUUGAAAGCCGGCCCACUUUAGUGCCAAUGGCAAAAAAAUGUCAAGUGCCAAUUAGGAGAGGUUUGCCACCAUUCAGUGGUACCCCACCCCCUCUUCUACUGCCCCUCCCUUCCUCCUAGCCUACUCUCUCAUACUCCCAAGCCCCUUCCCUUCACCCCUAUCCCUACUCCCCCAUUACAGCCUAAAAAAUAGUGUCUCCCUACUGGCACCCUGAAACAAAAGCUGCCUCCUUCCUCAAGCCUGAGAGUGAAAACAGACAGCAGCUCUCUCCUCCCCGAUUAGUCUGCUCGUUGGUUCACCAAAUGUCAUGUAUAGGCUAGGCUGGUAGCUAGUUAGUAGAUUCCAACCCACAUUGGUGGAGUUAGUUUGUAGCUCUUGGGUUACUUGCAUGUCUAGCUUGGCCAGAGAAUGACAUGGAAAAGCACCACUACAAUAUGUUUGACUAGUUUGAGUUUGUGCUAAAAGAAUGCGAAGGCUAACAUAAUAGCUCCAGCAACCUCUAUCAACCUCUUCAUCAACCUCUUCAUCAGCAUGUUGAUACUGUAGCAUUGUUGUCUUUGUUAUAAUGAAGUUUCACAACAUUUGAUCUCAUACAGCCAACCAUCUGUGACUCCAACAGCAUAUUUCAGACAGCAAUCCCCUUCUAGGUCACAGUCUUUCUCCCACUGUAUUAUAUUAUAUUUUCAUAUGUGAUCACAUAACCUUUCAUGUGAUUUUGGUACAACUUACAGUACAUGUGGGGUUAUUGCACAUUUACAUUUUAGUCAUUUAGCAGACGCUCUUAUCCAGAGCGACUUACAGUAAUGAAUGCAUACAUUUCAUUUCAUGCAUUAUUUUUGUACUGGCCCCCCGUGGGAAUCGAACCCACAACCCUGGCGUUGCACACACCAUGCUCUACCAACUGAGCCACAGGGAAGGCCCCAAGGCAUAUGAUUACAUAGGUGAUGCCCUGCAAACAAAAGGUCCCACAGCCGCAGUGUUUUCAAUUGACAUAUUUGACACAAAUGAUUACAUCGUGUAUGUUUAUUUAUACAGUAAUUAUUAUUUAACAUGUCCUCACCUGGGAUAUGAACUCACAACCUCUUGGUUCACGGCAUUAUGUACAAUCUUCCUUUCUACACCACCAUGUCUGUGUCAGUAACUGAUUUCACCUCUAUUCCUACACUUUGUACUUCAAAGUAAAUCUCAGCUUUGUUAAUAAUACACCAUUAUAUUUAUCAUAGUGAUUCAGGACAAAGUAAAUAAAUGCCCCACCAACGUUAGACAACUAUACAGAAAACCCACAAAUUGAUGAAAUAAGUGAAGGAAAUCAAUGAUGAGAUAAUAGUCAGAUUAAUUUAGAACUAAAAUAGCAGUGCAGAUGGCACUUUUUUGCUAAUUGCAGAGAUGCAUUGUAGGUAAUUAAUCUGUAGAGGACUUCUGAGAAUACUACAGACUUUGUGACACAGCAGAAAGAUCAGCGU
rnacentral:lncRNA from 1 species